AUCCAGCUGACGAGUCCUAAAAUAAGAAAAAAUGCGCGUCCUGGAU
rnacentral:hammerhead_ribozyme from 1 species